AUGGUUUCGUUUCUCCCUUUCAAGUUUUACGCGCCACCGUUAAACAUAUACCAUGUGAGCAAUGGAUUAAGGAUCAGAAGAAGAAGAAGAUUAAUAAAAAAUGGAAUAAAAUUGAUGAUCAGAGGAAAACCGUUGUCGGUUGCCGUCUUUUCUGCUGCGGACGAUUUCCAGCAAGAACCCUGUUGA